CAUGGUUAGGUUUUUGUAAAUAUACAUAAUUCAGUCACCUCUUGAUCUUGUUGAUGGAUUAAUUUAGUAAUUGUGUUUCUUGUGCUUCGAGAAAUUUUGUCAUUAGGCUCAGGGUGCUUGGAAAAGUAAGUUCUAGGGGUUCCUGGGGAGCUCAAUGGUUGAGCAUCUACUUUUGGCUCAGGUCGUGAUCCCAGGGUCCUGGAGUGGAAUCCCGCAUCAGGCACCUUGCAGGGAGCCUGUUUCUCCCUCUGCCUAGGACUCUGCCUCUCUCUCUGUGUCUCUCAUGAAUAAAUAAAUAAAAAUAUUUAAAUAAAAAAGGAAAAGUAAGUUCUAUUAGCUAGACUCACAAAUAUUUACAUAGCAUCCAUUAGAUGAAUAUGUAGAAUGAAGAACUUAAAUGCUUAAUAAAUAAGUGAAUAAUAUAAAUGCAGAGCCUCUUUAAUCAAGUAACUAACAAUUUCUUUGUGGAAAGAAUCCAUGAAUAUUUGAAUAAUAAUAAUAAUAAUACAUGAGGCUUUGAAGUCCACAGUGAUGCAAGAGGGAAAUGACAGUAGCUUGCAACAGCAGAAGAAAGGGACAAAGGAAGAUUAUAAGCAGGUGCCAUACAAAACUGACAACACUGUCUCCAGAAAAGGGAGAUGCCGUGGACUGGAAUAAACUGGGAGCGAGCAGCAUCUGAUCUAAGUCUAGACAGUUUAAGGGCACAUUUUUUUUUAAAGAUUUUGUAAAAAUGUAUUUAUUCAUGAGAGACACAGAGAGGCAGAGACAUAGGCAGAGGGAGAAGCAAGCUCCCUCUAGGGAGCCUGAUGCAGGACUCGAUCCCAGGACCCUGGGAUCACACCCUGAGGCGAAGGCAGACUCUCAACCACUAAGCCACCCCUGUGUCCCCGAGGGCACAUUUUUUAUGUAGGAAGAAAGGAGAGCUGGAAUCUCUGAAGGGCAAACAGCAUGAACAAUGACCCAGAAGAGCAUUUGCACAAUUGAAUGGUUCAAGGAAGUGAGUAACCAAUGACAGUGGUGGAAAGGCAUGUUGGAGCAGGACUCUCAAGCUGUGAAUGGUGGGCUUAAUCCUGCUGGCGCUGUGGCACUGGCCACAUUUUGGGGUGUGAAAGAGUGACGCUGUACUUCAGGAAAUCAAGAGACCGGAGGCCAGUGAUUGUGACGUAUUCGGGAUGAGGUAAUAGUGCAGGAAACUAUUGUCAUCUAUCACAUGGGCACGGAAGAGAGGUCUGUGAACGUAUCGUGAAAUUCACGUUUUGCCCUAUCAGGACAUGAGAACAUCACACUUCUGCCUCCAGUUUCCGAAUACCUCUUCUUUUGUCUUCUGUGAUCUCUUCUCCCUUGAGAAAAUUCUAAGUGCAUCAGAGUAAGGCAAAUACAGGAAAAAGUAAGUGCAAAUGCCAGACUGAACCCAAGAUCAAGAGGAUUGUGGUUCACUGAUUCUGUGUCCUCAUGGGAGCUAGGUCAGUUCAAGGGCAAGUUAAGACAAACAGGUGGAACCUCUGUGUCCGAGAGCAGAAAUCAAAAACAAACCCAAGGGGCACUGAACAUGCAUUUCUGGUUUACUUUUCACUCUUCUUUCUGCCCUGCCUUUUUGGUAAAUAUGCAUUGUCUUUGUUAAAGUAGUACUGCUUUGCUCCUGCCUUGGAAAGCUCUGGAAGAUAAGCGGAAAAAAGCUGCCAGAUUAGAGGGCCAUAUCUCAAGAAGCCAGACACAGUGGAUUCCACCUUUAAGCUCUUCUCGAAGAUCUGGCUUUCACAUUAUAUAAGGUUCUGGAACUAAUUGCCCUGAGUCCGUUCUUUACCUAGACUGGUUUGAAUGCCAAGCAAAGAGGUCCUACGAAUGUCAGUCCCAAAUUGCUAAGUGACCAGGAAACAUGAGUCCGGCCCCAGUGAGUGACACAUGGGUACCUUCACAAAUAGGGUGACAUCAGGACAGCGAGUAGCCAUCCAAAAUGUUUGAACCUAGUAAAUGGCUAAUGAGAUACUCACUGAGGUUACAAUUUUAAAGACAACUUCUACAAACUUAGGUUUCACAAAUGAAGCUGUAUUCGUUUUUUCUUGCUGCAUAACCAAUUAUUCAAAUAUUCAGCUGCUUAACACAACAAAUAUUUGUUCUCUCCCAGUUUCUGUGCAUCAGAAAUCUGAGCAUGAAAAAAAAAAAAAAGAAAUCUGAGCAUGGCCUAGUUUG